rnacentral:tRNA from 1 species
UCCCUGGUGGUCCAGUGGUUAAGAAUCCAUCUUGCAAUGCCGGGGACUCGGGUUCGAUCCCUGGCCGGGGAA